UACGGGGGGGGCAAGCGUUGUUCGGAAUUACUGGGCGUAAAGGGCUCGUAGGCGGCCAACUAAGUCAGACGUGAAAUCCCCAGGCUCAACCUGGGAACUGCGUCUGAUACUGGUUGGCUUGAAUCCGGGAGAGGGAUGCAGAAUUCCAGGUGUAGCGGUGAAAUGCGUAGAUAUCUGGAGGAAUACCGGUGGCGAAGGCGACAUCCUGGACCGGCAUUGACGCUGAGGCGCGAAAGCCAGGGGAGCAAACGGG
rnacentral:rRNA from 1 species